UACGAAGGGGGCUAGCGUUGCUCGGAAUCACUGGGCGUAAAGCGCACGUAGGCGGGUCGUUAAGUCGGGGGUGAAGUCCUGGAGCUCAACUCCAGAACUGCCUUCGAUACUGGCGACCUUGAGUCCGGGAGAGGUGAGUGGAACUCCGAGUGUAGAGGUGAAAUUCGUAGAUAUUCGGAAGAACACCAGUGGCGAAGGCGGCUCACUGGCCCGGUACUGACGCUGAGGUGCGAAAGCGUGGGGAGCGAACAGG
rnacentral:rRNA from 1 species